CAUACCACACAUACAAACCUAAAAUCCAAAGAAGAAACACGAAAGAAUAUGGAAUAUUCGAAGAAACAGAUGUCUCAGUUCGUAUGCCUC
rnacentral:ribozyme from 13 species